UACGUAGGGGGCAAGCGUUGUCCGGAUUCACUGGGCGUAAAGGGUGCGUAGGUGGUGAGGUAAGUCGGAUGUGAAAGCUCGGAGCUCAACUCCGAAAUGGCAUUGGAAACUACCUUGCUCGAGGGUUGGAGGGGGGACUGGAAUACUUGGUGUAGCAGUGAAAUGCGUAGAUAUCAAGUGGAACACCAGUGGCGAAGGCGAGUCCCUGGACAACUCCUGACACUGAGGCACGAAAGCUAGGGGAGCAAACAGG
rnacentral:rRNA from 1 species